AUUGAGAGUAGCUGAACAGUCCAGUGAAUGAAACGAAAGAUCUCGCCAGACAUGCUGGAGGAUGACAACUUCUUUGACCUUAUCACAAGACUUCAAGGUCGUAGGAUGGACGACCAACGAUGUGAAAUGAGAGACGACCAAUAUGAGUUACCAGCGUUUUUAAGACCUAACGCCCCAGACCCUCCCUCAAAUCAUCACCCCGCAAUGGGGCAAUGGGGGGACGAUAACCCAUUGGAAAUGAUGGGGACGGUCAACAUCAGCAAAUUUCAACAAUGAUGAAUAUGUUAGCAAACUCGCAAUCUAAACGCAUGGAUGGGCAAAGGGUGAGUCUCUCUGGACUUCCUGGGUUAAGGGUCAACGAUGGGGUCAAUGGCGAAGGAGUCGUCAAUCUGCAACAACCAGAUGGCGCUGCAGCUCCAUUACCAGUAGCUCUUCGACCAAGACUGGAAAACGGUGGAAUACCAGGAAAUGAAAACAGACAUUCACUCGAUGACACAUUUUUUAACGCUCUCAUGAGAUGCCAGAGCACGAAGUAAAAUGACCAGCGCUCGUCACCUCCCAUAUUCGACGCUCUGGUGCUGCUAACACCCACUAUCCCAGACGAAGAUUGAUUGUUCGAAUGCAGUCGUCAAGAAUCGAGGACCAGCGCUGUCGUUUUAGCCCUGAAAAAGAAUCCCCUCAUAAUGUGGACCCCGAUAAUGACGACAUAUCACAGUAAAUGUGGGACAUAUUUCGAUGCCCACUGUGGCACUAAAUGGUUGUUGUAAGUUUGUUCCGUGGCAUUUUUGUGAUUCCUUGCGAUGUUUUUCACUCAGUGGCAUCAGAUAUGUGCCAUGCCACUUGUCAUGCCGCACCUCACAUCUUGCUGUGUUUUAUUACAUGAGAGCCAUGGCACCUACCAAACGACAUAGAAUAGCCACCAUUGUUUUGCUCAUCGUGUUUUAAAACAAUGACGUUUUAUAAAAAUUGUGGCAUCAAAAGUGUACUAAUGCCAUGUAACAUGGUUCCUGUGUUUCAGGCAGUGGCAACAAAACAAACCAUGCCACCUACUAGCGUGGCAUGGAGAGAAUUAUUUCCAUUGGAAGGACACACACUGCCCUGAGACUUUGGAGACACUGAGGCAUUUAAUAAUGCCUUGAAAUCAAUUUGAUGCCCCAUUUAAAUGUCAUGCUGCCAUAGUAAAUAUCAUCCAACUAUGGGUUUAGGGAUUGACCUCCCAUUUUCUUUGUCAUGGUUAAGAUGCCACUAACUUCCUGUGCCACCAUUGAAGAUGUUUUUGCUGCCAUGUAGUGAUUUUAUUUCUAAUUAUGUCACGCUUGAGCUAACAUUGUGCAGUUGUAGAAAUGAAAUAUUGAUUAUGCAUCAUAAAUAUAUCCGAAUAUCGAAUGAUUCGAAUAUCUACUUCCAGAGCCAUAAAGUUGAGGGUUUCAAAAUAUCGAUGAAAUCGUGUCAAACUCUCACCCUACAGGCUGGCCUUCAUUACUAACAUCGGUGAAAAAAUUUAAUAAUCAAAACUUACAACUCUUCUACACAUUAGCUGCUUUAAUAGUUUUUUAUUUCAAUUUUGUGUCUGUUUAUUGUGUUUAGAAAACUUCAAUACGAUUUUCUUUGAUAUUAAUCAUUGAGGCGUGUCUGGUCAGAAUAAUCUAAUGCUAAUGUAAUGGUGGCAGUGCUGCUAUUUUCAAGCUUCAAUACUAUUUCCUUUAAUAUUAAUUAUUAAGGCGUGACUGGCCAGAAUAUUCCCAUGCUCAUGUAAUGGUGUCAGUGCUGCUAUUUUCAAACUUCAGUACAAUUUCUUUUAAUAUAACCAUUGAGGCGUGUCUGGUCAGAAUUAUCUAAUGCUAGUAUAAAGGUGUCAGUGCUGCUAUUUUCAAACUCCCUUAUUUUUGAUGUUGAAUCACACUGAAGUUAACUUGACCUCUUUUUUUAACUGCUGCAUAGUUUUUUAAUGUGAAUAUUGUUUCAAAUUUCAUUUUCUAUGAUCGUAAUUUUCAAAAAUUCGAAUCUGGAAAAAUUUAGUAAUUCAUCUUUCUCAUACCUGAUUUAAGACCAGGGCUUCAGAGCCGGUGAAAUUUAUAAUCGACUGCAAGUUUCCUUAAUUGUUUAUUUAAAACGGUGAGGUAAAGCAUACCCUCUAAAAAUGGCUCGGAACGAUAAUUUUUUUCGUGUGUGUGUGUGCACUCUUAUUGUGAAAACGUUAGUUUGAGUACUAACUUCUCAUUCACCGCUAUGUUUCUUUAUCAUAGAUGUGAGAUAGCUUUGGCAAUACAGUGGUUGCCUCUAAGUUCACUAAAAAAUGAGGAUACGUUGCUUCUGAGUGAGUGUAAACACCUUGCUUUGAGCAAAUUAUUUCUCAGUCAAGUCGCUUCUGUACCGGGUCAAGGUUGAUGUUUAAUUAAUUCAACUUUUUUCAUUUUCUUCUUGUUUUAUUAACACUGUACUUCUUAGCCCGGUGAUGUUUAUUCAUUUUGAACUAAUUUUUUUUUUUUUUUUCUUAUUUUUAUUCAUUUUUGAGUGAAUUCUGUUAAGAAAAAAGGGUGGCGUUCUCUUCAAUGCAUAAUUUGCAAUUCCGAAUCCAAAAUGUUUCUGAAUCUGAAUGUAUCAGGCCAUGUUCGGAAACAUUUUUCCACAAAUUAUUGGGCAUUCCAGAAGUAUGUGUACUAAAAUGGAGAUAUCUAAUUUUGUUCGCCUGUUUUACAUCAAGUUGUGUAAAGGGACUGAAACCUAAGGACAGGGAGUAUAUACACUUGACUAAUACAAACAGUUUCCGGGACUCUUAAUAGAACUAAAAUAAGGAAAAUUGGAAUAAAAUUAUGGCCUAACUCUGGCCUGGUACACAUACUAUAUAAUAAAAAUUAUGAAUGAAUAGCCCUAGUUUUUGUAGCAAGAUAACUCUUUAUAACUAAAUAAUGUUUUAAUCAUGGUUUUUCUGCAAAAGAAUAGGUUGCAUAGAGCCCCAUAUUAUGAUCAGCGCUAGUAAUUGUAGCAAGAUUGCCCCCUUUUUGAUAAAAUUAUGUUUUAAUAAUUAUUACAUCUUUCUGAGUUCUGACAUUAGAGUAGAUGUUCAGACUCCGAGGAGGUUCGAGUUUGAUGGAAAGGAUGCAAAACGGUUCUUUCAAUGCUAAAGGUUGCUGACCCCUGCACUAGGCCAUUAUGCUGAUAGUAUUUAUAGAUUAGUAUUAAAUCAUGAUUUCUGUUAUUUUUCAAAUUUUUUUUUUGCUAAAUUUAUUCCUAAUCAUGUUUGUAAAUACUAUAUUUCUAAUUAAAAAUGUUAUCAUUUUUUUUGUUAAAAGUCGCUUUCCCUGGUUGCGAUAAUCACACAUUAGUAGUUACCCUGGCGCAGCAGUUCCUAACAAGGGGCCGUCGCUGUCAAAUAGGGGUCACAAGGUGCAGAACUCCC